rnacentral:snRNA from 1 species
UACUCAUGGUUUUUUUUUUUCAUAUCGUAUAAAUCUUUCGCCUUUUACUAAAGAUUUCCGUGGAGAGGAACACAAUGAGUAUAAGCUAAUUUUUUGAUGCCCUGCUUAACUGUGGGCU